AUGUGUGUGUGUUCCUAUCUCUGUCACUCUGCCUUUCAAAUACAUAAAUCAUAUUUUUUAAAAAGAAAUACAGAAUUGCCAUAUCAUAAGCUGAUUUUUAUUUGCAUCCUUAUCCUGCCACACUGGCAAAAAAUGUAUCCCAGUUGCCAGAAGUUCAGUCCCCAUUUGCCCAGGACAGUUCACCAAUCGAAGAGAGAUUAUUUAGUACCCAGAUCACUUGGGCAGAUGGGAGGGACUGGGGUCCAAAGGCACGGGUAUCAACAAACAGUACUUCACCCAUUUGCUCUCCUCUUGCCUGUCCACAUGCUGAGGUUCGUGUCCAUGUGGCCCAUGGAGCCUCACUUCUCUGUCCUACUUCUGGUCUAUUGUGAAGUCCUUGGGCCAGAACAGGCUGGGAUUCUCAGCCAGGCUUUCUGCAGCCCACCUUAUGAUCUGACUCAGACCCAGCCCGCAGAGUCUCUUCCAGGUCCCCAGGCCUAUGGUCACAGAGGGAGGCUGCAGAACCCCUCUCCUCUCCAGCACUCCAAACCCGCCACAGCUGCACGGGCCCCCGGGGCCUCUCUUCCAAUGGGGUGCACAAUGACUGAGAACUGCUGCUGGCUUUUCUGCCCCCCUGGUUGCCUCUCCCUGCCUUUCUCCUCCUCACAGAGCCUGGUCAUCCAGCCCAGAGGACUUUUUGCUACUCCAGGGUCAAGAGAGCAGGGGGUGCAGAGGCUCCUCUGGGUUGACCUUGAGCAUCUCCCCCAGAGGCGCUCCCACUUCCCCUAUGGUCAUGCUUUCCUGUUCCCGCCCCCCACCACCACCACCAGCAUGGAACCAGUGACCGGCAGACCACUUUGUCCUGUGCAGCUCACCCCUGAGGCACUCACCACAGAAGGAAAUCCAGCCUGGACAAGGCGGAGGGAAGCAAAGGUGGAAUUAGAAGGAUUUUUUUUAACUGGUGAAGCUUUAAAAAAAGCAUUAUUUUCCACAAAUGCAAAUACCAUGUGCCAAGCUAGAGGUCUAGGAAAUGUUAGCAAAUACCUUGAAAAAGAGAGGAGACACAGGUGUCAAAGGGCACUCGUGAGAAUGCAAGCAACACGGGUUACAUGGACAGGCUGGAAACAGAGGGAGGAUGCUAGGGCUCGGCUGCUCUCUUGGUUGGGAGACCCUUCUCCUCCCUCUGGCCAUCUGGGUAUAGCUUCACAGGGGUCUUAG
rnacentral:lncRNA from 1 species